AUUGAACGCUGGCGGCAGGCCUAACACAUGCAAGUCGAGCGGAUGAAGGGAGCUUGCUCCUGGAUUCAGCGGCGGACGGGUGAGUAAUGCCUAGGAAUCUGCCUGGUAGUGGGGGCUAACGUCCGUAAACGGGCGCUAAUACCGCAUACGUCCUGAGGGAGAAAGUGGGGGAUCUUCGGACCUCACGCUAUCAGAUGAGCCUAGGUCGGAUUAGCUAGUUGGUGGGGUAAAGGCCUACCAAGGCGACGAUCCGUAACUGGUCUGAGAGGAUGAUCAGUCACACUGGAACUGAGACACGGUCCAGACUCCUAAGGGAGGCAGCAGUGGGGAAUAUUGGACAAUGGGCGAAAGCCUGAUCCAGCCAUGCCGCGUGUGUGAAGAAGGUCUUCGGAUUGUAAAGCACUGUAAGUUGGGAGGAAGGGCAGUAAGUUAAUACCUUGCUGUUUUGACGUUACCAACAGAAUAAGCACCGGCUAACUUCGUG
rnacentral:rRNA from 1 species